UUGUUGGUUUUUGAAGAAUAAUUUUGAUGUUUGAUUCUAGCUUAAACUUAAUUUUUAAAAAUGUUAACUUAACAUGUGAGUUUUUACGUGAUAAAAAUGUCUAAAAGGACAAUAUAAUUAUUCGCAGUUUUUAAUUUUAAAUUAUAGCUCAUGCUAGAUUUAGUUUUGUGUUAUUAGUCUUAACCAAUUUUGUGCCAGCAGUUGCGGUUAUACAAUUAAGGCAAGGAAAUUUUUUAGGCUUGUAUUAAAAUGACUAUAAUAAUAUUGGUCGAGUAUUUGACUUAUUAAGUGAAAUUUUAUUUCUGUAUGUCGGCCAUGGUCCAUAAUAUAAGAAAAUCAGAGUUUAGACUAGGAUUAGAUACCCUAUUAUUUUGAUUGUGAUAUAUAAUCAGCCUUAAUAUUAAUAGUUAUGAUCUUUAAACUAAAAGAAUUUGGCGGUAAUUUAAUCUUGUUAGAGGAACCUGUCCUGUAAUUGAUAAUCCACGUUGAAUGUUACUUUAUCUAUAGCUUGUAUACCUCUGUCACUGAAUGUCUUAUUAGGGGUAUUAUAUUUUCUGAUACUUAUAUUUAGGUUUAUGGUAGGUCAAGGUUCAGCAAUGAUAAAGAAGAGAUGGGUUACAUUAUAAUUAUUUAUGAAUAUGAAUAUGUAAUAUGUUAUUGAAAUUGGAUUUAAGAGUAAUGUUUUUUAGAAAAAAAAGAUGAUUUUAGCUCUAAAUUAUGCACAUAUCGCCCGUCAUUCCUAUAAUAAAUAGGACAAGUCGUAACAAAGUAAGGCUAUCGGAAGAUGGUCUUAGUAG
rnacentral:ncRNA from 1 species